rnacentral:rRNA from 1 species
CGCCUCUUUAUCAAAAACAUCGCCUCCUGCAACUAUAUUAGGUAUAGGAGGUCCAGCCUGCCCAGUGACUACGGGUUCAACGGCCGCGGUAUUUUGACCGUGCAAAGGUAGCGCAAUCACUUGUCUUUUAAAUAGAGACCUGUAUGAAUGGCUAAACGAGGGCUUAACUGUCUCCCCUUUCUGGUCAGUGAAAUUGAUCUACCCGUGCAGAAGCGGGUGUGACACCACAAGACGAGAAGACCCUUUGGAGCUUAAGGUACAAGAUUCAACCACGUCAAACGACUUGAUAAGAAGCAGGAACUUAGUGGGAAGUGAAGCUUUACCUUCGGUUGGGGCGACCGCGGAGGAAAGACCAGCCUCCGAGUGGAAUGGGCCAAGUCCCUAAAACUAAGAGAGACAUCUCUAAGCCACAGAACAUCUGACCAUAAAUGAUCCGGCCCAAGCAGCCGAUCAACGAACCAAGUUACCCUAGGGAUAACAGCGCAAUUCUCUCCCAGAGUCCAUAUCGACGAGGGGGUUUACGACCUCGAUGUUGGAUCAGGACAUCCUAAUGGUGCAGCCGCUAUUAAGGGUUCGUUUGUUCAACGAUUAAAGUCCUACGUGAUCUGAGUUCAGACCGG